AGGACGAACGCUGGCGGCGUGCUUAACACAUGCAAGUCGAGCGGUGAUCCUCCUUCGGGAGGUGAUCAGCGGCGAACGGGUGAGUAACACGUGGGCAACCUGCCCCUCACACUGGGAUAAACCUCGGGAAACCGGGGCUAAUACCGGAUACGACCUCGAGCGGCAUCUCUUGAGGUGGAAAGCUCCGACGGUGAGGGAUGGGCCCGCGGCCUAUCAGCUUGUUGGUGGGGUAAUGGCCUACCAAGGCGACGACGGGUA
rnacentral:rRNA from 1 species